GAAGAAACCUACCAACCUAACAAGUUAUAACGACCAGCCCUCCUUUUUAAAAAGAAGCCGAAGUUUCUCACAGAAUACAUAUGAGCUUUAUCCACAUGAAGACCCAUUUCAGCCUAAGGACACCUGGAGGGGAGAGGACUGGAGGAAGGCGGUUAACGAAGACGAGCUACAGGGGAGGAGGGUGAUAAUGAGGACCAGCCACCAGAGAAAGAAAUCCCUGUUUGAGCAAAGAGAAAGAAGCAGACGAAAUAUUCCCCAAGAUAAUUAGUCAGUCUGGUUCUGCUGAUGACCCGGUGUGGGCCCUGGUUCUGCUGAUGACCCGGUGUGGACCCUGGUUCUGCUCAUGACCCGGUGUGGACCCUGGUUCUGCUGAUGACCCGGUGUGGACCCUGGUUCUGCUGAUGACCCGGUGUGGACCCUGGUUCUGCUGAUGACCCGGUGUGGACCCUGGUUCUGCUGAUGACCCGGUGUGGACCCAGCUUCAGCUGGACUCAUCCUUCAUCAUUGGUCUACAGGUGAGACCACAACAUCCCGGCCCCCAGCAUGAACCCUCCACCACCGUGACGGACAGUCGGGAAACUUCAGCUGAACCGGGUUCUGGUUCUGUCCAGUACGGUCCCAUCGAUCUGGAGCUUCAUCCAGCCCGGCGGCCAUCUUGUUUCUAGAGAACAGGUUUUGUCCUUCGACCCUUUACAGCAGCCAUGCAGGCUCAGAGUGCUGACCUUUGACCCCUGUCAGUCAAAGAUGGAGCUCAGGUCUCUGCAGCAACGAUCCGUGGAGCGCCCGCCCCAGUCGAUCCGGCCGAUCAAUCGGGUUAAUUAAGAGGAAGAGGAGCAGAGCCUUCAUCACCGAUCUGCAGUCAGAACCAAGCUGAGAGCCAUCGGGUCGGUUCUGCUGCUGAACAGAACCGGGUCCAACCAGAGCACCUCCACUGCCUCUCUGAUAAACAGGAUUCACCAUUUUAUUCCUCGGUGACCUGUGACCUCUUGAAGUAUUAAAGGUCACCUAUUUCCUUCCUUCAACAGGUUAGCAUAGAUCUAUGUGCUCAUUACAUCUUUUGUACAAAAUAAUUCUCAGUUAUUCAGAUUUUAUUCUGCUCAGUUCUACCCGUUGAUCUCUCAGAAUGACGUUUUACAGUCGCUGUCUCUUUAAAUCCAAAUGAGCCGCCGCUGUUGGCCACG